UUCUUCUCCUUCAAUAUUGUAUGGGCUCUGCUGGGUCUGUGUAUUAACUUUAGAAUCAGUUUGUUUAUAUCCAUGAAAUAACUGGCAGAGAGUUUGACUGAGAUUGUAUUAAAUCUUUGGAUCAGAUUGGGAAGAAUUGAUAGUUUUACAAUAUUGAGUCUCCUACCCAUGAGCAUGGACUAUCUUUCCAUUUACUUAUUUCUUUGAUGUAUUUCACCGUUGCUUUGUUGUUACCCUCAUAUGAAUGUUGUAUAUAUUUAGUUAGAUACAUACCUAAAUAUAUCUUUUUUGGGGGGGUUGCCAUUGUAAGGGGUUUUGUGUUUUUAAUUUCAAAUCAUACUUGUUCAUUUCUUGUAUAUCAAACUUGUAUCCUGCAACCUUACUAUGAUUACUUAUUAUUUCCAGGAGUUUGUUGUUGACACUUUUAGAUCCUCUGCACAGAUGAUGAUGUCUCCUGUGUCCAAAGAUAGCUUUAUUUCUGUUUUCCUCACUAGUAUGCCUUUAAUUUUCUUUUCUUAUUGCAUGAUAUAUCUUCAAUAAUUUAACUCUAAACUAUUUGUGUCCUUCUAUUUGGUGGGUUUCUUGUGGACAACUUACAUUGAGUUUUGUUUUUUGAUCACUGACAGUCUCUUUUAAUUGGUGCAUUUAGACUACUGGUGUUUAAAGUUAUUACUAAUAUCUACUAUGUUUGCUAUUGCUUUAUAUUUUAUUGCCUUUGUUAUUUGUUCCAGUUUUUGUAUUCCAAUUUUUCUAUCAUUUAUAGUUUUAAUGGAGCAUUUAAUGUAAUAUCAUUUUCUCUGCCUUCUUAGCAUAAGAAUUAUUUUUCUUUUAAAAACUUUUUUGAUGGUUUUCCUAGAGUUUCCAGUAUGCACUUAGAACUAAUCCGAGUCUGCUUUCAAAUAACACAAUAUUGCUUCAUGAUUAGUGCAGUACCUUAUAACAUAAUAAUUCUAAUUUCUGCUUGCUAUCCCUUUUGUAAUUCUGUUAUUCAUUCAGCUUUUACAUCAAGCAUAUAUACAU
rnacentral:lncRNA from 1 species